GGAGUGAGCCGUCCACUCUCUCGCGCAGCUUUUCUCUCCCAGUUUCUAUCAGCCAGCGCCGCCGUCAGGUGUACUGGAUCCGGUCCGGAGGAGAGUGGCGGACCCGCUCGACGCAGAAAACGCCCGGUAGCCACAUGAGAAGCGCCGCCCACGCCAGGGACUCCCGGCUCUCCGUACUCACAUAACCGGACUACUUUUUUAGGCGGGCUGUUGGAGUUUUUCAUCGCUUUAAUUGUUUUAAUUGACUCCCUUUUUUAAAACAUUCAACAAGAUGGAGAACGAUGAUAAAUAUCUUCCCGAGCUGCUGGCGGAGAAGGACAGUUUGGACUCGUCGUUCACUCACGCGAUGAAACUUCUAAACGCAGAAAUCGAUAGAGUCCAGAAAGGCGAGACUAAAAAGGAGACCCAGACCUACCUGGACCUUUUCACUACAAAGAACAUCAAACUCAAGGAGCGAGUGCUCAUACCUGUCAAACAGUACCCCAAGUUUAAUUUUGUGGGGAAGAUUUUGGGACCUCAGGGCAACACGAUCAAACGUCUGCAGGAGGAGACCGGGGCCAAGAUCUCUGUGCUGGGCAAAGGAUCCAUGAGGGACAAAGCCAAGGAAGAGGAGCUCAGGAAAGGUGGUGAACCAAAAUACGCCCACCUGUCUAUGGAGCUGCACGUGUUCAUCGAGGUGUUCGCGCCAGUGCCCGACGCUUACCUGCGCAUGGCACACGCUAUGGAGGAGGUCAAAAAGUUCCUGUUUCCUGACAUGAUGGAUGAUAUCUGCCAAGAACAGUUCAUGGAGAUGAGCUACCUGAACGGAGGCCAGGAGCACGGGGGCAGAGGGCGAGGGGGCAUGCCCGUUAGGGGCCGUGGGGUCCCCCCUGCUGGAGCACACAGGGGACGAGGAAUGCCUCCUCACGGCUCUGCAGCCAGAGGUGGAGUGACUCGGGGUGGUCCCGCCAGAGGUGGAGCCGUGAGAGGGGGGGGCCCAGCAGGAAGAGGAGGGCCUCCUGCAGCACCCACCCGGGGAACCGCAGCACCACGCGCCAGACCCCCAGCUGGAGGACCACCUCAGAGGAUGGCACCGCCCCCCGCACACCAGCACACCCCUGCUGCAGCUGCAGAGGGUUAUGAUGAAUAUGGCUACGACGAGAGCUACACCGACACGGCCUACGAGUCGUACGACAGCUAUUACAGCCAGCCGCAGGCAGAACCAGAAUAUUAUGAUUAUGGACACGGAGAGACCACAGAGUCGUACGAGUCGUAUGGCCAGGACGACUGGAACGGCACCCAGCGGACGACUCCGGGGAAAGCCCCGCCCCCAUCCAGAGGUGGAAAGACAGCCUACCGGGAGCACCCGUACAGACAGUACUGAAGCGGACUAGUUGCCCCGGUAGUCGUGUGUCGACCCGGCAGCUCUCGCUUUAAGAAGCCUGACAAAAGCACAGCCAUCGGUCACGGAAGGACCCGGAGACUGGCGGUCUACUGGAGACGCUUCAGCCCCCAGUGAAGUGGGAGCAGCUCGGCACAAAGAAGGUGGCCAGACGAAGCUCUUAGGGGCGCCCUGGUGGGGGAAAUAAAAAAAACAAACGAGUCAUUUCUGUUGUCUAGAGAUGGUGAGGGGGACAUGGCUGCCACACCAAGGACUUGACCUCCUCAGAGACAUGCAGCUGACUGGGACUUCUGAACAGAAAUGGACUCUCGCCUCACAUGGACUAUUUCCUACUGAUUAUUCCGGUCCGUGUUGAAUAACCAGGAAUUGUCUGUAAUUCUGCUGACUGUCUCUUUGCACAGCCCCUGAGGACCACGCCCUCUUCCAACAAAUGUAAUUGUUCCAGUCUAAUUCACCAAUAAAUAAGCAGUCCCGUUAUAGCAAGCACCCGGAUCGUUUUUCAUUUCAAUUAACCCCCGAAAAGACCUAAAACAAACCCUCUUAGCUGACUGAGAAGCGCCUCUCACUCGGAAAUGCAGCCGACCCAAAUGAAAUAGAUGCUUCCUUUUUACAGCAUGUGGUUCAUAACUCCUUCAAUUGAAUUCAAAUUCAAAAAUACUGUAUUAGUCCCAGAGGGAAAUUGAUUGAGCAUCAUAAGAGAGGAUACUUGGGGCGGGAGGGUUGGGAAUACCCGGAGAGCGCGGAUCAGUGUCCAGGACUGGUGCGCGCUCCUUCACGUUGCAGAAAAGCACGUUCUGGAUUGCCUCGAGGAUGCUAGAGCAGAAGCUUAUUUGCAUGUGCCCUCUCUGAGAAUAUAAAACACUUCCAUAACCAACGCUGGCCCGCUCUCAGCAGUCUAACAUCCAAGUAUUAUAAUUCAGCGAGACGGAGCCGUGGGGAUCUGCGCAGGAGGAGAGGACAGAGGGUGAAGAGAAGCAUUACCAACAUCCGUUCAUCUAUCCAUCAUGCUUCUGUUGAUUUGAUUCCACUCCGUGCCGUUUUCAGCCAUUAUCACUGAUGGUAUUACCGCAGCUGUGCUGCUGAGUUACAUUUAGAGGUCAAAACUGUACUUUCCUGUAUUAAAAACAAAUUUCUCCGUCUCGAUCCACUGGUCAGGCGCGCCAUUAACCAAGUCAGAGGCUCUAUUUGGUUUAUUGAGAAAGCCUGCUGCUUAUUGGAUUGAACAUUAGAUCUCAGGAAUGAAACCAUCCUUUGAGAUGAAAUGUCAACAGACCAUAUCCAAAACAGACCAUUUUUCAGCCUGUAUGUGCUAUUAUGUCUGAAGUAAUGAUUUCUAUGUGUCCUAUAAUCUAAUAGUAGAUAAGUGAUGGUGUGGAAGCCGUCUCGUUUCAAAUCGAUUAUCUGUCAGAAAGCAUGCGAGAGGAGAGUAAAGUAACCGUCACUGUAGAGUGAUCAAUAAAGGUAGACUUGAAUCAA